AGCUUAACAUUGUAAGUAAAUAAUAAUUAUGAAAGCAAAAAAUUAUGGCGGUAUUUUAAGCUUUUCAGAGGAAUUUGCUCUUUAAUGGAUAAAACACCAAAAUCUUACUUAGAUUUGUGAUUUCAAUUUGUAUACCACUAUUAAAACAAUUUAUAACUUUAAUUGUUUAAAUUUACAAAACUAAAAUAUAUUAAGUCAAGGUGCAGUAAAAAUUUAAGGAUGAAGUGAAUUACAUUACUUUUUAGUGAGAUAAGUUUAUAACAAUAUUUAGGAUUUGAAAGUAAAAUUAAAAUAGGAUGUUAAUUUGAAUUAAGCUCUAAAAUAUGUAC
rnacentral:rRNA from 1 species